UUGUACUGUUUUAAUGUUUACCUUGACAGUCAAUAUACUGGCAACUUUACUGUGUUACACUCAUUUGACAUGCACAAUUUCAUGACAUAGCAGUUAAUUGGAUAACAUAGGAAGUAAAUCACUAACAAGUGGGAAUCACUUGGAUUGUUAAAGUGGAACUUGCAAACUAAAUAUAACUAAUACAAUCCAAAGCAAAAAUGAUGAUUAAGCAAGCAGUAUUAAGAAAGAAAUUAAAAAAAAUUACCCAGCUUAAAUAAUGCUAAAAAUUACAUAAUUAUAGCUUUAAUGGAAGACCAAUGUACUGUCAACUUAUUUAGAGACGAAAAAUAUGGAAUAAAUUGAAGUGUAGUUUAUAUAAUACUCAAUAAUAAUGUUAAGUAUAAACAUUAUUGUUGUAAGAAGAAA